AAUAUUUCUUGCAAUUUACCCUUCGCAAUAUCGUCAGGAAUACACGGAAUGGUAACUACGAAACAUUGCUGCUACGGCAGAUGUAAUAGUGACUCGAGAUAUGCAGAUAGGCCAGAUAUGGAAGGGGUUAGAUUCAUCACAUUCCCGAAACCGAUUACGAAUCCAGAAAAGUGUAAUCGGUGGGCAAGACUGUGUGGUCGUGUGGGGUUUGAUCAUACUCGUGUGAAAAAGGAUACAUACAUCUGUACAAAACAUUUCAUCGGCAGUGCAGGUCCAACAUCGGAGCAUCCAGAUCCUGUUCCUGCGCCUUCAUCUCCAGAGGUUGAGAAAAUUGGCAGGAAAAGGAGUGGUCCGAAACCCAGGGCUAUGCCAGUGAGUAAAAAGCUGAAACAAGAAGCAGCCCUUGCCUUAUUGGACCUAUCUGCAACGUCUACACGCAGUGUUUUGGAUGAAAAUGAUGACACAAACAGUUUUGAAAAUGCAACAGCCAGUUUUGAGGAUGUUGCAGCACCAACGGUGAUUACAGUAAACGUGGUGCAUGUCGCGAUACCGUGUUCACCCAUUAUGAGAGACGUCGGAACUCAAGUAUACUCUAGUCUGGGUGCUGAAAUUGAACAUAUUGUCCAAAAAAAUGAAAAAGUUUUAGAGGAAUGUAACAUUACACAACCAUCUAUUGUUACAUGUUCUAAGCCUUGCAUUGAUGGCAGAUUCUGUCAUUGGAAUCAAUUUGUGACGAUGACAAAAAAAUGAAAUUCUUUACUGGUUUGCAUUACUUUCAAUUCAUUGCCCUGUUUCAAUUUCUUGGGGAUGCAGUGAACAAUCUCAAAUAUAGAUACAGGGAUAUCGGAACAUGUUCAAGUGACAAAGGUGAGACUACUUCUAAUAAAAGUGACAGUACUGACAGCAGUAAGACUACUACUAGGUGAGGUCCAAUAGGAAAACUUCACCACAGGAGCAACUUUUCAUCAUGUUUGUUCGACUACGGAAGGGCUAUUCCUUUUUUGCAAUGAACACUUUUUUCAAGUUAUGUGAGACUAGUUUAAGGACAAUAUUCCCCACGUGGCUGCAGCUUCUACACUGCCAUGUCAAAGAUUUACGCCAUCUAAUGUUUCCUGACCGGGCUCAUAUCAAAAACAAUUUACCACAGUCAUUUCAGUCAUUCAAAAAUAUUAGGUGUGUGAUGGAUUGCACAGAAUUUUUUGUGGAAGUGCCAAGAGACCUUUCCAGGCAGGGAAAUCUGUAUUCUAAUUACAAGCAUCACCAUACUGUUAAAUGCCUCAUAGCUGUUGCUCCAAAUGGUGCUGGUUUUUUAAUCUCCGAUUUAUUUGAAGGUGCCAUGAGUGAUCAUGAUGUAUUUAUGAAGUGUGGACUCCUUGAUUUCCUAAAUCCUGGUGACUUGGUCCUUGCUGACAGAGGAUUCAGAGUCAAGGAAAUUUUGAACAACCAAAAUGUAGAACUUAACAUUCCAUCAUUUCUGCAUGGGCGAGCUAGGCUUACUCCACAAGAAAAAUUAUUAACCAGACAGCUAAAGUCAGGAUUCAUGUUGAGCGCUAUAACGAGCGUUUGAAGAAAUUCAGAUUAAUAGCAGGUACAAUACCAAUGGUGCUUGCACCUUUGGCCAACCAAGCUGUAUUUGUUGCCUGUUGCCUGGUGAACUUUCAAGUUCCCCUUGUGAUUUGAGUGAAAUCUCAGCGAACAGUGGGUGACUUCACAUUUGGUGUUAGUGUCAAUUUUGUAAAAGUGUUAGGGCUUUUAUGCAGCAACAAAGACAAUGUUUCUUAAUGACGCUGCGAUCAACACAAACGUAAGGUGUAAAGCUAAGGGUAUACAGCCUUGUUUGUGGAAAUGAUGCAUCCAGGGCUGCUGAAAAACUAUAACACUUUCCCAAAGUGAACACCAACACCAACUUUGAAGUAACCCACUGUCACUAGAAUAUACUAGUAAUGACUGGAAAAACAUGUUGUCUCUAUGAAUGAUUAAAAGUAAAUGAAGUAAUUGUAAUAAAUUCUUCAAAAAUAUUUGUAAGUUUACAUCGAAUUAUUUUGAAAAAAAUAUGUUUAUAAAACCGA